CCCGAAGGAAAGUCGAGUGACUGACCACGUCCAAGUCGGCCUCCUUCUUGAAGGUGCGGUAGGCGCCGUCGCAUCCGCUGGAGCGCAGAUAGUCGGCGACGGCUCGGUUUCUGCUCAUGAAUGUGGGCGCUCGCGUCCUCUUCAAGUGGUGAAAAGGCGCACUUGGGCGGCGCCGUUGUUCUCGCGCACGCCGACGGGAAGCCGCGCGUCGGGACUAUGCCCGUUUUCACCAAAGACUUGCUUGAAGAACCGCGCGUUUGCGUUUUUUUCUGUUUUAGAGGAGUA